rnacentral:rRNA from 1 species
AUUGAACGCUGGCGGCACGCCUAACACAUGCAAGUCGAACGGCAGCACGGACUGUAGCAAUACAGUUGGGUGGCGAGUGGCGGACGGGUGAGUAAUGCGUAGGAAUCUACCCUAGAGAUGAGGAUAACGUGGGGAAACUCACGCUAAUACUGAAUACGCCCUACGUGGUAAAGGUUGCGCAAGCAGCCGCUUUAGGAUGAUCCUACGUUUGAUUAGCUAGUUGGUGGGGUAACGGCCUACCAAGGCGACGAUCAAUAGCUGUCCUGAGAGGAAGAUCAGCCACACUGGGACUGAGACACGGCCCAGACUCCUACGGGAGGCAGCAGUGGGGAAUCUUGGACAAUGGGGGCAACCCUGAUCCAGCGAUGCCGCGUGUGUGAAGAAGGCCUUAGGGUUGUAAAGCACUUUAAUGGGGGAGGAGUAGGUGUUGUUGAAUAGACAGCGCUGAGGACGUUACCCCAAGAAUAAGCACCGGCUAACUCUGUGCCAGCCGCCGCAGUAA